AUGGACCCUUCAUCACUUACGGGCAUGAGGAGGCAUGGCAACCACGUCAGCGCACACAGGCAAUGGACCUUUACUACCAUGGAGACCCCGACUCUGAUUAUUGCUGUCUGUCUGACACCAGUAAGUUCUGUCUUUUUUUCUCCACCAGUCUUUUCUUUAUUUAUUAUCUUUUCUCAUUCAUUCACCUUUAUAACUCUUUCAGGAUCUUUCUGCUUCCUGUCGUUGCACUUCCUUCUCUUACUUUUUGAGUUGUUUUGUUUCUUCUCCCUGUUUUUCUCUCUUGCUGGUAUAAGCAUAACCCAUAAUCACCUUGAUCCAUGUAGGCUUAGAGUUGAACCUUUAAUAACUAUUUUUAGGCAAGUGCUUAAAACAGCACUUCUGUGAAUAAAACACUCCUACACUAUUCAAUUACAAAUACCAAAUGCCACCCGAUAAUGGUAGAAAUGCACCAUGCACAUUUAUCAAGUGCUUCUCAACAUGCAUUGUAUGUGCUAAACUAUACCACGACACUGAGAGCGAAUUAUGAUUUUAUGUGUAUGGGUGAAUUUUUCUUUUCCCUAGGACGAUUUUAAAGAAAACAAAAUCAUUUUAGUUUUAAAGGAUAGAACAUAAUUUGCCAUGAUUUCUCUAUUUUGGGCUUGUUUAACUUUUCUCAUCAAGGAAUUUAUAAAAACUGUAAAUAUAAUUUUUUUUUAAUUUUGCACAUCAUAAGAAUUAAAUGAAACAUAUUAAAUAUUAUAUAUAAUAUUAUAUUUAAAAUAUUGUAUAUUAAACAAAAAUAUAAAAUGUACAUAAAAUAUUGUUUUCAUAUAUCAUUUGAAAUUUAGGUGUUAAUUUUCAUAACAAAGUUUUAAUAUUAGACCAACCAUUUUAAAGAACAGUUACAUUACCGAUCAAAUGUUUGGGGUCAGUUUAAUGUUUUUUAUUUCAAAUAAAUGCUGUUCUUAUGAACUUUCUAUUUAUCAGGAAUCAAUCACAUAAAUAAAUUACAUUUUAAAAUAUAUUAAAAUAGAAUUGUUAUUUAAUUUUAAAUUGUAAUAAUAUUUCACAGUGUUGCUGUUUUACCAUAUUUGUAUCAAAUAAAUGCAUCCUUGGUAAAAAAUUAUUUAGUAUACAAAUAAAUGACACUCGUUAAGGUAAAAAAAUAAAAAAUAAAAAAAAUAAAAAAUAAGAAAAAAAGUUUCUGGUUGGUUAUGAUGUAGAUGAGAGGUGACAAGGGAGCUGUUCGCAGUGACAUGGCUGUAUAUUACCAGUCUUUUAAAGGUUUGGAUGAUAAGCUUAUCUGAAAAACGGCAAAUGCAAAAAUACUUUUAUCUCAUUUCUGUGGAAAGUGUUUUUUUUUUUGUCCUAUCAUAACUUAACACUGAACUCAGGAGAGGUACAGAGAGAACAGUGUCCUGAGGAGUCUCUUGGGACUGGUCAGCUAGAUAAAAUGUGCUUUCCCAUUUAAAGAAACAUGCCAAAAUACAGAGCACUCUGGAGAUGAGGUAAUUUGCAAUCACUGACAUAGCUGUCUCAUAAUUGAAUAGUACAAUCCCUAUGAAGGCACAAUAAUCUGUAACUACACUAUAGCUGCAUCUUUAAUAUAUUUGUUUGUGUUCAUAUUACAUUACUCAUAGUCUAAAUUUGUCUAAAUGAUCUCAUAAGCUCCAGAGUUUCUCUGGACAGAGUCACUGCAGGUGUGUUUGUGAAUGCACAUAUUUGUAUGCAUUCAUGUGAAUGUGUGUGUGAAGGAAAAUGCAUAAUGCUCUUGAAACCAGAGUAUGAUCCAAGAUCACAUUAGUAUUAUAAUGUUUUGGGUCCUGUAUUGAGUGCUUAGCUGCAUUUAAAUAAGAUUUUUACAUAAUCCCCCAAUCUUCCCAACAUAAAUAAACAAAGUGUUUUAGACACUUAGGACUGAAGCUCUCUCUGUCUAUCUAUCCUCUCCAAUACCUCUAUUCACUUCCUAUUUACACAGAGAAUGAAAGACUGAAAAGACCAGCAUCUGGGUGAUAUGAUGAGCACAAGGAGACAAGGGGAAGAUAAUCUAAAUUAGGAGUAUUGAACUGAGAACUUAAAGUUGAAAAGUUUCAAAACAUUUUGUAAAACUGUUGUGAAAUAUAGAGAACCGCGAGGAGUGUAAUGUAUGACAGUGACAACAUAACAAAAAAACACUGGAAAGUUGUUUGAAAUUUGUUCUAAUUUUUAUACAAUUAUCCAAUCACAGUAUCUUUUUGGCCAAAACAAUGUUUUAAUAUUUUUACAUUUAUGUUUAAAAUUUAGCUAUGAAUUGUGGUUAUUAUUUUAUUAUAUUAGAUUAAACUUUUAUUAUUAUGUAAUAUAAUAUAAUAUAAUAAUAAUUGUAUCUUUGAGUAUUUUAUAUGUAAUCAAUUUCAUGCUUUGCUAAAUUGUAAUUAAAUAACCAACAAAGUAUCUUUUGGCCAAAACAAUGCUUUAUAUUUUAAAUAUUUUUUAUGAUUAACUUCCUACGAACGACCGAACCGAAUUAGUCACGGAUUCAGAACACUGGCUUCACGGUCCGCGGCUGCUGCAACUUCACGGAGGAUCGCGGCGAAGAUGGCAGACGGAGAUGUCGUGGAUGGAGAGAAACUCAGCAAAAAGUACAUGCAUUUAUAACAUUACAGCGCUUAAACUGAUUCUGUACGAAAUGACACUCAAGAUAAGUUUGCCUAUGUGUAUUAUGUGGCUUAUCGCGUCCGUAGUGAUAAAUGAGAUUGAUAGAGUGUUUUUACUUUUCUCUUGCCAGUAUUUUUAUGUAUGUAACUAUGCAAAAGAUUCACGCGGUUGCGCUUAAGUUGUCCAAAUGACAAUUUAAUUGCACAUAAUUCCGAGGCGGUCUACAGAAAGCUAAUGGCGUGUUUGUUUAUGAGAACCGUUCAAAAAUAAGAUUGAGCGAUUAUUGUACGUCGUGACUGCGUAGGCUUAUCUUAUUGUGACUUUUCUGCUAUUAGGCUAUUAAAGUAACUUAUUUUUUCGGUAUUUACUCGGUUCACUCUAAAUACUUUCACUAUCGGUUCUCGAGUCAUUACAAAGCUGACGCAAGAUGAAUGCAGAAUACCUUGCGAGCAUAAGAGUUAACUACUAUUUCAGUUUCUGCAGUUUCUUUAUAGGCAUAUCACACAAGCAAAUAACAGUAUGCUCAAAGUAUAAAGGGGCACAUGGAGCACAGAUUUUAAUAAGGGCUGUGCUCCUUGCAUAUACGUGUAUCGAAACUUAUGCUUUUGUAUUGAUAGCAGCAAUUAUGCUGUGACGCAGUUUUGAAAAAUAAACAUGGAACAGAAAAUAAAAUUUUAAGUUUAAAAGUUAAAGUAGUUUUUUUUCUUUGCAACUUUUAAAUACUCUGGAAUUAGACACUGAGUUAUAGUAUUGAUAUUAUUAUUAUCAUAUCAAUUCUAUUUCAAUCCUGUUCUGAAUGUAUUCAUUUUUUUGAAUGAUAAUGAUAAUAAAAACAGGAUUAAUGAGUAUAAUUCGGAUAAAGUAUAAUUAGGGUUGUGACGUUGAGGAAAUGUUCCAACUGGUUAAUCGACGUGUGACAACAGG
rnacentral:lncRNA from 1 species